UGAAGUUCAUGGGCAGCCUGGAUGUGGACCGGGUCUCUAAGAUCUUCAUAGAAGCUCUGAACUCCUUCAUGGGCCGCAGGAAGAGCCCGCUCAGCGCUCAGAUGUUCACAGAUCUGUUCACCAGGUUCCCCGGUUUGUGUGUGAAGAUGUUGGAUGCCGCCGUGCAGCA